rnacentral:rRNA from 1 species
CCUACGGGGAGGCUGCAGUGGGGAAUAUUGGACAAUGGGCGAAAGCCUGAUCCAGCCAUGCCGCGUGUGUGAAGAAGGCCUUCGGGUUGUAAAGCACUUUCAGUGGGGAAGAAAGCCUUGGGGCUAAUACCCUCGAGGAAGGACAUCACCCACAGAAGAAGCACCGGCUAACUCCGUGCCAGCAGCCGCGGUAAUACGGAGGGUGCGAGCGUUAAUCGGAAUUACUGGGCGUAAAGCGCGCGUAGGCGGUCUGAUAAGCCGGUUGUGAAAGCCCCGGGCUCAACCUGGGAACGGCAUCCGGAACUGUCAGGCUAGAGUGCAGGAGAGGAAGGUAGAAUUCCCGGUGUAGCAGUGAAAUGCGUAGAGAUCGGGAGGAAUACCAGUGGCGAAGGCGGCCUUCUGGACUGACACUGACGCUGAGGUGCGAAAGCGUGGGUAGCAAACAGGAUUAGAUACCCCUGUAGUC